UCACUCUCUGACUAUUUAGUGAGCUCUUAGAUGCAGGUUGUUAAUGAAGUUGAUGUUCACAACAUAUUUCUUUCCUUAAGAGAGAAGAAAAAUAACCCAAAGGAUACUCCUCAUCACAGCUGCAUAUUGAAUAGCUGAGAACCAAAAUGAGUGGGUUCCUUCUCCUUGAGCUCAUUAUCAAAGCUUCACAAGCUUCAGUGGAACUGCACAGUCUGCAUCAGUAAGGGUAUGACUUGAGAUGGCCACAAGUACAAGCCUUGGCAUUGCAUAUAAUCAGGAUGGCACAGAGAAGUCCUGCCAAAAAGAGCUUGAUGAGGGCCCUUCAACAUCUUGUGCCUCAGUCCAUGAAGCCUACAUGUAGAGCAUUCACAUCUACUUCUGGAAUUAUCAUCAGGACCAUAUGUUUUGCCCUGCACUGAUAAGAUGUUCA